GAUGAACGCUGGCGGCGUGCCUAAUACAUGCAAGUCGAGCGAACAGACGAGGAGCUUGCUCCUCUGACGUUAGCGGCGGACGGGUGAGUAACACGUGGAUAACCUACCUAUAAGACUGGGAUAACUUCGGGAAACCGGAGCUAAUACCGGAUAAUAUAUUGAACCGCAUGGUUCAAUAGUGAAAGACGGUUUUGCUGUCACUUAUAGAUGGAUCCGCGCCGCAUUAGCUAGUUGGUAAGGUAACGGCUUACCAAGGCAACGAUGCGUAGCCGACCUGAGAGGGUGAUCGGCCACACUGGAACUGAGACACGGUCCAGACUCCUACGGGAGGCAGCAGUAGGGAAUCUUCCGCAAGGGGCGAAAGCCUGACGGAGCAACGCCGCGUGAGUGAUGAGGGUCUUCGGAUCGUAAAACUCUGUUAUGAGGGAAGAACAAAUGUGUAAGUAACUAUGCACGUCUUGACGGUACCUAAUCAGAAAGCCACGGCUAACUACGU
rnacentral:rRNA from 1 species